rnacentral:rRNA from 1 species
UAGGGAAUCUUCCGCAAUGGACGAAAGUCUGACGGAGCAACGCCGCGUGAGUGAAGAAGGAUUUCGGUUCGUAAAACUCUGUUGUUAGGGAAGAAAAAAUGUAUAGUAACUAUAUACAAAAGAGACGGUACCUAACCAGAAAGCCACGGCUAACUACGUGCCAGCAGCCGCGGUAAUACGUAGGUGGCAAGCGUUGUCCGGAAUUAUUGGGCGUAAAGCGCGCGCAGGUGGUUUAGAAAGUCUGAUGUGAAAGCCCACGGCUCAACCGUGGAGGGUCAUUGGAAACUAAUAAACUUGAGUGCAGGAGAGAAAAGUGGAAUUCCUAGUGUAGCGGUGAAAUGCGUAGAGAUUAGGAGGAACACCGGUGGCGAAAGCGGCUUUUUGGCCUGCAACUGACACUGACGCGCGAAAGCGUGGGGAGCAAACAGG